GAUGAACGCUAGCUACAGGCUUAACACAUGCAAGUCGAGGGGUAACGAGAGGAAAGCUUGCUUUCCUUGUCGACGACCGGCGCACGGGUGAGUAACGCGUAUCCAACCUGCCCCCAACUAGGGAAUAACCUUGCGAAAGUAAGACUAAUACCCUAUAAUUUCUUCAGAUGUCAUCUGACGAGGAAUAAAGAUUUAUCGGUUGUGGAUGGGGAUGCGUCUGAUUAGCGUGUUGGCGGGGUAACGGCCCACCAGGGCAACGAUCAGUAGGGGUUCUGAGAGGAAGGUCCCCCAAAUGGGAACUGAGACACGGUCCAAACUCCUACGGGAGGCAGCAGUGAGGAAUAUUGGUCAAUGGGCGGAAGCCUGAACCAGCCAAGUAGCGUGCAGGAUGACGGCCCUAUGGGUUGUAAACUGCUUUUAUACAGGAAUAAAGUUAGCCACGUGUGGUUAUUUGUAGGUACUGUAUGAAUAAGGACCGGCUAAUUCCGUGCCAGCCGCCGCAGUAA
rnacentral:rRNA from 1 species